rnacentral:rRNA from 1 species
GCUUACACAUGCAAGUCGAACGGCAGCGCGGGCUUCGGCCUGGCGGCGAGUGGCGAACGGGUGAGUAAUACAUCGGAACGUGCCCUGUCGUGGGGGAUAACUAGUCGAAAGAUUAGCUAAUACCGCAUACGACCUGAGGGUGAAAGCGGGGGACCGUAAGGCCUCGCGCGAUAGGAGCGGCCGAUGUCUGAUUAGCUAGUUGGUGGGGUAAAGGCCUACCAAGGCGACGAUCAGUAGCUGGUCUGAGAGGACGAUCAGCCACACUGGGACUGAGACACGGCCCAGACUCCUACGGGAGGCAGCAGUGGGGAAUUUUGGACAAUGGGGGCAACCCUGAUCCAGCAAUGCCGCGUGUGUGAAGAAGGCCUUCGGGUUGUAAAGCACUUUUGUCCGGAAAGAAAUGGCUCUGGUUAAUACCCGGGGUCGAUGACGGUACCGGAAGAAUAAGCACCGGCUAACUACGUGCCAGCAGCCGCGGUAAUACGUAGGGUGCGAGCGUUAAUCGGAAUUACUGGGCGUAAAGCGUGCGCAGGCGGUUUGGUAAUACAGGUCCGAAAUCCCCGAGCUCAACUUGGGAAUGGCGCUUGUGACUGCCAUGCUAAA